rnacentral:pre_miRNA from 1 species
GUUGGUGAGUUGGCUGGGUUGGCUGUCGGUUCCUCCGUUUGCAUUACCUCCAUCUUCGCAGGGGCGGUGUCAGGUGGAUCGAUGAACCCGGCGAGGACGCUGGG